rnacentral:misc_RNA from 1 species
AACGCACAUUGCGCCCUUUGGUAUUCCGAAGGGCAUGCCUGUUCGAGCGUCAUUAUCACCCCUCAAGCCCCGGUGCUUGAUGUUGGACGGCCUCGGUCGACGCGAAUCGACCCCUCCUAAAGAUAAUGACGGUGGCCUCCGUUGGACCCCGGUACGCUGAGCCUCUUUAACUGGGCAUGUAUCGGAUUAGGGACUUCAGGCCCCGGUCGCCCUUUUCUUCGCCAUUUCGGUGGUGGGAAAAGACCCCCCUUUUUCUAAGGUUGACCUCGGAUCAGGUAGGAAUACCCGCUGAACUUAA